ensembl:miRNA gmo-mir-11183 gmo-mir-11183
GGCCCCAGGUAGAGCGCCUUCACCGCGGACGCUGAAGGAGCUCUACCUGGGGCCCA